AGAGUUUGAUCCUGGAUCAGAUUGAACGCUGUCGGCAUGCUUUACACAUGCAAGUCGAACGGUAACAGGCCGCAAGGUGCUGACGAGUGGCGAACGGGUGAGUAAUGUAUCGGAACGUGCCCAGUCGUGGGGGAUAACGCAGCGAAAGCUGUKCUAAUACCGCAUACGAUCUAUGGAUGAAAGCGGGGGACCGUAAGGCCUCGCGCGAUUGGAGCGGCCGAUAUCAGAUUAGGUAGUUGGUGGGGUAAAGGCUCACCAAGCCAACGAUCUGUAGCUGGUCUGAGAGGACGACCAGCCACACUGGGACUGAGACACGGCCCAGACUCCUACGGGAGGCAGCAGUGGGGAAUUUUGGACAAUGGGCGCAAGCCUGAUCCAGCAAUGCCGCGUGCAGGACGAAGGCCUUCGGGUUGUAAACUGCUUUUGUACGGAGCGAAAAGGCUCUCUCUAAUACAGGGAGUUCAUGACGGUACCGUAAGAAUAAGCACCGGCUAACUACGUGCCAGCAGCCGCGGUAAUACGUAGGUGCAAGCGUUAAUCGGAAUUACUGGGCGUAAAGCGUGCGCAGCGGUUAUGUAACACAGAGGUGAAAUCCCCGGGCUCAACAUGGGAACUGCUCUUGUGACUGCAUAGGCUAGAGUACGGCAGAGGGGGAUGCAAUUCCGCGUGUAGCAGUGAAAUGCGUAGAUAUGCGGAGGAACACCGAUGGCGAAGGCAAUCCCCUGGGCCUGUACUGACGCUCAUGCACGAAAGCGUGGGGAGCAAACAGGAUUAAAUACCCUGGUAGUCCACGCCCUAAACGAUGUCAACUGGUUGUUGGGUCUCUUCUCUGACUCAGUAACGAAGCUAACGCGUGAAGUUGACCGCCUGGGGAGUACGGCCGCAAGGUUGAAAACUCAAAGGAAUUGACGG
rnacentral:rRNA from 1 species